rnacentral:rRNA from 1 species
GACGAACGCUGGCGGCGCGCUUAACACAUGCAAGUCGUGCGGUGUCGAAGGCAAGUCUUACGACAAGCCUUCGACACAGCGGCGAACGGGUGAGUAACACGUGAGUAGCUGUCCUAAGGAGGGGGAUAACGCCUGGAAACGGGUGCUAACACCCCAUAUGCCUCGCAAGAGGUGAAAGUGUACUUGCUACAGCCUUAGGGUGUGCUCGCGGCCUAUCAGCCAGUUGGUGAGGUAACGGCUCACCAAGGCCAAGACGGGUAGCCGGCCUGAGAGGGUGUACGGCCACACUGGAAUUGAGAUACGGUCCAGACUCCUACGGGAGGCAGCAGUGGGGAAUCUUGGGCAAUGGGCGAAAGCCUGACCCAGCGACGCCGCGUUGGGGAUGAAGCCCUUCGGGGCGUAAACCCAUGUUGUAGGGGACGAAGAAAGUGACGGUACCUACGAGAAAGCCCCGGCCAACUACGUG